rnacentral:rRNA from 1 species
GUAAGGAAUAUUGGGCAAUGGAGGCAACUCUGACCCAGCCAUGCCGCGUGCAGGAAGACGCAUCUAUGGUGUGUAAACUGCUUUUGUACGGGAAGAAACACUCCCUCGUGAGGGAGCUUGACGGUACCGUAAGAAUAAGGAUCGGCUAACUCCGUGCCAGCAGCCGCGGUAAUACGGAGGAUCCAAGCGUUAUCCGGAAUCAUUGGGUUUAAAGGGUCCGUAGGCGGUUUAAUAAGUCAGUGGUGAAAGCCCAUCGCUCAACGAUGGAACGGCCAUUGAUACUGUUAGACUUGAAUUACAAGGAAGUAACUAGAAUAUGUAGUGUAGCGGUGAAAUGCUUAGAUAUUACAUGGAAUACCAAUUGCGAAGGCAGGUUACUACUUGUGGAUUGACGCUGAUGGACGAAAGCGUGGGGAGCGAACAGGAUUAGAAACCCGGGUAGUCC